CCGGGACAGCGGCCUGUGAAUUGUCCAACGACGACUACUACGAAGGCGAGGCAGGACAACUCUCUGGAUUGGAAACAAGUGAGCUUUCCCCUCCGGAUCACAACAGCAGCACUUUCUCGUCUCCUUUUCAACCAUCCAAACGCAAAAGAAAGCGGGCACGGGAUGACAGCUUCCUUGACACCAUCAU